UCCUUGUAGUUUUUGGGUUAUAUAAUUGGUAUUUGGUUCUUUGAUGUCUGUAGCUCUGGGGUUAUGGUUUAGAAAGGUUUGUACUCUGUAUAUAUUUUCUAUGUAUUUCUGGGCGGUGUAGUUGUAUACUUUUUUGUCUUGGUUUAGGCUAUCUCGGUAUGUGUUAACUUGUGGGGGUAUGAAUAAAUGGUCUUUUUGUAUAUUCUAACUCUAACGCUGUAUAGCUCUUCCGUAUUUUUUAAAUUGCUGUGCUCUGAUACCAUUUGUAGGGGGGUGCGCGGAUUUAAUAGGUUUAAUAGAUUUAGUAGAUUUCUAGUGAAUCUAUUUUUAUUAGUGCGUGGAUAUUUUGUUUCAAUAUCUUUUAAUAAUUUACUUUUUUCGUAAGAUAUAUUCAUUAAUUAUUUUAUCCUGUAGUAAUUGCAGAGUUACAAAUUCCUGUAUAAUAUUUUAUCCUAUCUGAGGCGAGAUAAAUGGUUUGGUACUUAAUUCCCAGUUCC
rnacentral:lncRNA from 1 species